UACAGAGGGUGCGAGCGUUGUUCGGAAUUACUGGGCGUAAAGCGCACGUAGGUGGCUUGAUAAGUUGGGUGUGAAAUCCCCCGGGCUUAACCUGGGAAUUGCAUUCAAGACUGUCUUGCUAGAGUGUGGAAGAGGGAAGCGGAAUUCCAGGUGUAGCGGUGAAAUGCGUAGAAUAUCUGGAGGAACACCGAUGGCGAAGGCAGGUCACUGGGCCGCAACUGACGCUGAGGA
rnacentral:rRNA from 1 species